rnacentral:rRNA from 1 species
CAAACUGGAGAUGGCGACCGGCGCACGGGUGAGUAACACGUAUCCGACCUGCCGAUAACUCGGGGAUAGCCUUUCGAAAGAAAGAUUAAUACCCGAUGGCAUAAUAGAACCGCAUGGUUUGAUUAUUAAAGAAUUUCGGUUAUCGAUGGGGAUGCGUUCCAUUAGGCAGUUGGUGGGGUAACGGCCCACCAAACCUUCGAUGGAUAGGGGUUCUGAGAGGAAGGUCCCCCACAUUGGAACUGAGACACGGUCCAAACUCCUACGGGAGGCAGCAUG